AGGACCUUCAUUUGGACUUGAAUCGGCAAAAGUUGGUUUCGAUCGGCAUUCGGGGUAAUGAAUACCUAUCGAGACGUCGCGACUGUUGUCACUGGCCUGAUAGGAGUUCCGAGUCGUGAUAUAAAUAAAAAUUUUUAAUAUUGAAAAUCUCCUAAACACUCAUGGUAAAGUGUUGGAAAAUUCUCUCACUUAGAAAUUCUCAAGAAGCCACUUUUGGUUUUCUUGAGAUUUCAUCAUUGGAGAAAUUACGUAAAUUAUGUAUUAGCUCCUAAUUUUGAGGGACCAAAAAUAAAUAAAUAAAUAAAUAAAUAAGAUAUUUACCCAUAA